CCCGCUGAACUUAAGCAUAUCAAUAAGCGGAGGAAAAGAAACUAACAAGGAUUCCCCUAGUAACUGCGAGUGAAGCGGGAAAAGCUCAAAUUUAAAAUCUGGCAGUCUCUGGCUGUCCGAGUUGUAAUCUAGAGAAGCAUUAUCCGCGCUGGACCGUGUACAAGUCUCCUGGAAUGGAGCGUCAUAGAGGGUGAGAAUCCCGUCUUUGACACGGACUGCCAGGGCUUUGUGAUGUGCUCUCAAAGAGUCGAGUUGUUUGGGAAUGCAGCUCAAAAUGGGUGGUAAAUUCCAUCUAAAGCUAAAUAUUGGCGAGAGACCGAUAGCGAACAAGUACCGUGAGGGAAAGAUGAAAAGAACUUUGGAAAGAGAGUUAAACAGUACGUGAAAUUGCUGAAAGGGAAACGCUUGAAGUCAGUCACGUUGGCCAGGAAUCAACCUUGCUUCUGCUUGGUGUACUUUCUGGUUGAUGGGUCAGCAUCAAUUUUGACCAUUGGAAAAAGGUCUAGGGAAUGUGGCAUCUUUGGAUGUGUUAUAGCCCUUUGUUGCAUACAAUGGUUGGGAUUGAGGACCUCAGCACGCCUUCAUGCCCGGUUUUUACCCACGUACGUGCUUAGGAUGUUGGCAUAAUGGCUUUAAUCGACCCGUCUUGAAACACGG
rnacentral:rRNA from 1 species